GACGAACGCUGGCGGCGUGCCUAAUACAUGCAAGUAGGACGCAGUUGCGAACGGGUGAGUAACGCGUAGGUAACUGCCUAUUAGAGGGGGAUAACUAUUAGAAACGAUAGCUAAUACCGCAUACUAGUAGAUGGACCUGCGUUGUAUUAGCUAGUAGGUAGGGUAAUGGCCUACCUAGGCGACGAUACAUAGCCGACCUGGAGUGGUGAUGGGCGCGACUGGGAAUGGGGCACCGCCCAGACGCCUAAGGGAGGCAGGAGUAGGGGAUCUUCGGGAAAUGGGGGAACCCUUGACGAGCAAAGCCGCCGGAGUGGAGGAGGGUUUCGGAUCGUAAAGCUCUGUUGUUAAGGAAGCGGUACUUAACCAGAAAGGGACGGCUAACUACGUGCCAGCAGCCGCGGUAAUAC
rnacentral:rRNA from 1 species